GUUAAAAAUAAUAACCGUAUUACCCUUAUUUCUAUACCCAAAUAUAGAGUAACUAGAAGAUCCCAUAAAUUAAAGACCUAGCUUUACAAUUCCAACUCCUCUUCCUUCUAGCCGCCUCCUCAAAUUCAAUCCUCUUCUUUGAACUUUUUCUUCUACCUAAAACUUAAGUAUUCUUCCUUUCUCACUCCUCUUUUUUACCAAUUAAAAUCAACAAUCUUCAUCGUCUGCACCUGUGUAAGAAUUCACUUUUUUGGUCGAAUUUGGGUAAUUUGAAGCAAUUGAGUAUAUUUUAAUUUUUGAAGCGAUUUUUCAUUGUUUGGUGGGUCUUUCAAACAAAAGUCUUAAGUUAGCGGUACUUUGGUUGCUCUUAGGAUGAUGCAGGCUCAAUUUCCUAAGCUUGAGAAGAAAUUGAACCUGCUGACUGAUGUGCAUGUUUUGUAAUCCUGAAUUAUUCUCACGAGUAAAGAACAGAGGGACCCCUCUAUGAAUGUAAGUAUCCUUCAGUUAUCCAUCCUAUUUAUAUUCAUUAGGACAGAUAUUACAAUUAUCGUUGUUGAACUCUAUGCUUGCAUUGCUGAUGCUUUAGAAAAUUUCUAAUGUAUUUGAAACACAAAGAUUUUUUAAUCUUUUGAUCCUGUUGAAUGUAUUGUCUGGUUGUAUUUUUGAUGUGUACCCAGAACCGAAGAGGAGAACAACUACAUUUUACAGGGGAAGGUCUAGCGUGCUAAAUACUUCCUCUAUUCCUUUUUAAAUGACACAAUUAUUUAGGCACGUUUGCCAAUGCACGAUUUCAAACGUUAAUAUCUUUUAUUAUGGAUAAGAAAAAAUUAUAUAAAAUUGAUAUUUAAAAAAUAUUUAUUGAGACGAAUCUAAUAAGAUUCCACACGACUAUGUUUUUUCUUAUGUAUAAAUCACAAAAGUAACUCAAAGAAACAUGUGUGAAUAGUGUCGAAAGUACAAUUGUGUCAUGUAAAUAAGAAUGGAGGAAGUAUAUCACAGGGUCGUUCAAUCAAGGAGUAUGUCAUUCAACCCAUACCGUGUCAGAUCCAGGUCUCAAUGCACUUGCUGCUACUUUUGAAAGCCAAAAUACCAAGAAUUCUUUUGUUUGUUUUGGUGCACAUCAAUGUAGCUUUUAUUUUUGGGAAGUGAAGGAUAGUGGUUGUGGACUUGUAAACUGUAGGCUCUUUUCCUGAUUUUUUUUAUUGUUAUCUUUAAUUGAAUUUCAAUGAUGUAUAUACUCGGUAGAUGUUAAUUUUAACAAUGGCAAGAUGUUAUUCGUGUUUUGCAAAGUUGAAGUUACAAGCACUUGGAAAAUAAUAAAGUUGAUAUUUAUUUUAA